AUCCCUCGACCGCGUAUGAAAGUACGUUUUCACCCUCGGGUGACAGGGAGACAGGUGGUGCAUGGUUGUCGUCAGCUCGUGUCGUGAGAUGUUGGGUUAAGUCCCGCAACGAGCGCAACCCCUACGUUUAGUUGCUAACAGGUGAAGCUGAGCACUCUAGACGAACUGCCGUUGACAAAACGGAGGAAGGUGGGAUGACGUCAAGUCAUCAUGCCCCUUAUGUUCUGGGCUACACACGUGCUACAAUGGCCGGUACAGACGGAGGCGAAGCCGCGAGGCGGAGCAAAUCCGAAAAAGCCGGUCUCAGUUCGGAUUGCAGGCUGCAAUUCGCCUGCAUGAAGUCGGAAUCGCUAGUAAUCGCAGGUCAGCAUACUGCGGUGAAUACGUUCCCGGGCCUU
rnacentral:rRNA from 1 species